rnacentral:rRNA from 1 species
AGCGAACGCUGGCGGCGUACUUAACACAUGCAAGUCGAACGGGAUCGACACGUGAGCAAUCACGUGGCGGUCUUAGUGGCGUACGGGUGAGUAACACGUGGGCAACCUGCCCUUGAGUCUGGGAUAACCUCCCGAAAGGGAGGCUAAUACCGGAUACGGUCCUCGGGUCGCGAGAUCUGAGGAAGAAAGGUGGCGCAAGCUACCGCUCUUGGAGGGACUCGCGGCCUAUCAGCAGUUGGUGAGGUAACGGCUCACCAAGGCUAUGACGGGUAGCUGGUCUGAGAGGACGACCAGCCACACGGGGACUGAGACACGG